UGGGGAAUCUUGCCCAAUGGGCGCAAGCCUGAGGCAGCGACGCCGCGUGAGGGAAGAAGGCCUUCGGGUUGUAAACCUCUUUCAGGAGGGACGAAGCCACUCGGGUUAAUAGCCCAGAGGGUGACGGUACCUCCAGAAGAAGCCCCGGCUAACUACGUGCCAGCAGCCGCGGUAAUACGUAGGGGGCAAGCGUUGUCCGGAUUUACUGGGCGUAAAGAGCGUGUAGGCGGCCAGGCAGGUCUGUUGUGAAAACUGGAGGCUUAACCUCCAGACGUCGACAGAAACCGUCUGGCUAGAGUCCGGAAGAGGAGAGUGGAAUUCCUGGUGUAGCGGUGAAAUGCGCAGAUAUCAGGAAGAACACCAAUGGCGAAGGCAGCUCUCUGGGACGGUACUGACGCUGAGACGCGAAAGCGUGGGGAGCGAACAGG
rnacentral:rRNA from 1 species